GGCAAUGAUCCUCUGGCCUAUUAGGACAUGAGGCAUAGACAAAUGUGCAAUUAGGAGGAAAAAACCCUGUGAGGAGGAAAUGCUAGAGAAUAAAAUCCCCCUAUAGUUCCUCUAAGACUCUUGCCAGGAAAGCCAUCUGUCAAGAGAUUAGUAAGAAGGUAAUUUCUGCAGGAAUUUUCCCUUAGGACCAUAUGGAGUGCCAAGAAAAGGUGUUGUGGCAUCAGGAGUGAAGACAAAAGCUCAGGGUCCUCAGCAGUGUUUAUCACAGACAGAAAGAAAGCUAUCAACCCAUUGAGUCUUAGGGAAGAAGAGAGAGAACUACAUUGCUUUUGACAGGAGACCUGAAGAAGUAUUGGGAGUAGUUGAUGAAGCCAAGUCUCCUGAAAGGUUUACACAGGCUGGUUACAAUAUUCUGCAGAUGCAAGGUGGAUCCUUUACCUCUGAAUGGAUAAUCUUUCCUCUGAGAGAUGAGGAAACUGCAGACCAGAGAAGUGAAGACAUUUGCUCAAGGUCGCAUGGGCAGCAAGAGACAGAGAUGACUCAGUGGUGAGGGAAAAUUUGAUGAUGUCAUUCUUAAAGCUGCCUAUGAAGCUAAUGUAUCGUGACUCUUCAGAAGGUGCAAGAUAUUUGAAUUUUCUUCCUUUUUUGUGUGUUUCUGGUCAUGCUUCAACAUGACAUUUUGGCCUUCUGGGUCUUUGACUUUUUUUUUCUCUUGAAGGAGAUGGGCUCCUUCUAUGGGGAAGGGUUAUU